GUUAUGUAGUUGUAUUGAUGUGACUCUGAUGUAGCAUGUGGCGAGUGUAAGCCAACUCCUUAUACUCACCUUUUUAGUACAUGUACUUGUAACAAUAUCCAUUCUUGCGAAACGAUGAGAUGCAUUUCUAUCCGUGUCGAGGCCCUCGCCCCAAAAUAAGGAUAGGACCACAUCUUGGGUGUAGAAAGUUGGUAUGAGGGAAGUACCGACC
rnacentral:lncRNA from 1 species